rnacentral:rRNA from 1 species
UACGUAGGGUGCGGGCGUAAUCGGAAUUACUGGGCGUAAAGCGUGCGCAGGCGGCUUUGCAAGACAGAUGUGAAAUCCCCGGGCUUAACCUGGGAACUGCAUUUGUGACUGCAUGGCUGGAGUGCGGCAGAGGGGGAUGGAAUUCCGCGUGUAGCAGUGAAAUGCGUAGAUAUGCGGAGGAACACCGAUGGCGAAGGCAAUCCCCUGGGCCUGCACUGACGCUCAUGCACGAAAGCGUGGGGAGCAAACAGG